CCUCGGGACGCAGCAGUGGGGAAUAUUGGACAAUGGGCGAGAGCCUGAUCCAGCAAUGCCGCGUGUGUGAAGAAGGUCUUCGGAUUGUAAAGCACUUUCGACGGGGACGAUGAUGACGGUACCCGUAGAAGAAGCCCCGGCUAACUUCGUGCCAGCAGCCGCGGUAAUACGAAGGGGGCUAGCGUUGCUCGGAAUGACUGGGCGUAAAGGGCGCGUAGGCGGUUUAUGCAGUCAGAUGUGAAAUCCCCGGGCUUAACCUGGGAACUGCAUUUGAGACGCAUAGACUAGAGGUCGAGAGAGGGUUGUGGAAUUCCCAGUGUAGAGGUGAAAUUCGUAGAUAUUGGGAAGAACACCGGUGGCGAAGGCGGCAACCUGGCUCGAUACUGACGCUGAGGCGCGAAAGCGUGGGGAGCAAACAGGAUUAGAUACCCCGGUAGUC
rnacentral:rRNA from 1 species